AUACGUAGGUGGCAAGCGUUAUCCGGAAUUAUUGGGCGUAAAGAGUGAGCAGGCGGUUAAUUAAGUCUGAGGCUAAAGCGUGGGGCUCAACCCCAUAAAGCCUUGGAAACUGAUUGACUAGAGUACGGGAGAAGUGAAGGGAACUCCAUGUGUAGCGGUGAAAUGCGUAGAUAUAUGGAAGAACACCAGUGGCGAAGGCGCUUCACUAGCCCGAAACUGACGCUCAGUCACGAAAGCGUGGGUAGCAAAUAGGAUUAGAUACCCUAGUAGUCCACGCUGUAAACGAUGACAACUAAAUAUUGCCGCGAGGCAGUGUUGAAGCUAACGCAUUAAGUUGUCCGCCUGGGGAGUACGGUCGCAAGACUGAAACUUAAAGGAAUUGACGGGG
rnacentral:rRNA from 1 species